UGCCCGGUCGUCUAACGGUAGGACCUCAGACUCUGAAUCUGAGUAUCCUGGUUCAAAUCCAGGCUGGGCAA
rnacentral:tRNA from 3 species